GACGAACGCUGGCGGCGUGCUUAACACAUGCAAGUCGAACGGAAAGGCCCUGCUUUUGUGGGGUGCUCGAGUGGCGAACGGGUGAGUAACACGUGAGUAACCUGCCCUUGACUUUGGGAUAACUUCAGGAAACUGGGGCUAAUACCGGAUAGGAGCUCCUGCUGCAUGGUGGGGGUUGGAAAGUUUCGGCGGUUGGGGAUGGACUCGCGGCUUAUCAGCUUGUUGGUGGGGUAGUGGCUUACCAAGGCUUUGACGGGUAGCCGGCCUGAGAGGGUGACCGGCAAAAUUGGGACUGGGAUACGGCCCAGACCCCUACGGGAGGCAGCAGGGGGGAAUAUUGAAAAAUGGGGGGAAGCCGGAUGCAGCAACGCCGCGUGCGGGAUGACGGCCUUCGGGUUGUAAACCGCUUUCGCCUGGGACGAAGCGUGAGUGACGGUAAUGGGUAAAGAAGCACCGGCUAACUACGU
rnacentral:rRNA from 1 species